rnacentral:misc_RNA from 1 species
AUGAAGAACGUAGCAAAAUGCGAUAAGUAAUGUGAAUUGCAGAAUUCAGUGAAUCAUCGAAUCUUUGAACGCACAUUGCGCCCGCCAGUAUUCUGGCGGGCAUGCCUGUUCGAGCGUCAUUUCAACCCUCAAGCACAGCUUGGUGUUGGGACUCGCGUUAAUUCGCGUUCCUCAAAUUGAUUGGCGGUCACGUCGAGCUUCCAUAGCGUAGUAGUAAAACCCUCGUUACUGGUAAUCGUCGCGGCCACGCCGUUAAACCCCAACUUCUGAAUGUUGACCUCGGAUCAGGUAGGAAUACCCGCUGAACUUAAGCAUAUCAAUAAGCGGAGGA